rnacentral:lncRNA from 1 species
UAAAUUUUCUUCUUGAAUCAAAAAGUAGCAAGAGAUGAAGAACUGUUGGAAGUAUUGAGCUAACCAAGCAUGCUCGAGGGAAUGAGGAGACCAUUAAAAGCAGGUGGAUGGACUGGCCUCCCUUCUUGCCAAAGGCUUCUUAGGAACCUGGCUUCCAGACUGCUGGGGUUUGUCUUGCCCAAACCAUGCAGCACCGAGCUCCUGGGGUGUUUCACCAUCAGCCCAGCCCCGCUCCGGGCUCUGCUCACGGCUCCCCUUCGGCACCUCCUCGGGGAGAGAUCCGGCAGCACCGGCACCGCUCCCCACGAGGGAACGGCAGGAGGAGACGGGCACGCACUGUUCUGUCUCUGCAUCACUUCUCAGACUUACUCAGAAAAUGUUUCUGCAUUAAAGCAUAUUUCAGUAUUUCUGGAGGUCAAAUGGAACAUUCUGAGUUCGCUCUGUUCAAAUCAGUUAUAUGUAAAAAGAAAUAUAUUUAGAAGAAUUAUUAAAUACUCCAGAAGACAAUUGGACAUAUAAGCUGGAAUUUCUCUGUAGAUUUUUAAGUAAAAAAAUCUGUUAAAAGAAAUCCUGUUAGAUCUUCCCUCCUGCUUUAGCAGUUAGAGGAAUAUUUAUAUAAAAAUAAUGAUUUGUAAAGCAGGCACUGCAUUUGAGGGGCUAAGAACAGGAUGUAGUGCUGGGUUUGGGGGCCUCAGAAUUGAGACCUAAUCAGGCAAUUUUGGGUUUUCCCAGACCCAAAUCACUGCUGUGUUUCAGGGGCUCAGAACCAGACCUACUUGAUCCAUUUUUGGGCUCCCAAAGACAGACCAAAGGCUGUAUUUAGGGGUCUCAAAAUUCAGGUUCAGCACUUAAAAUCAGAGACUAAAUCCUGCAUUUUGGACACUGAAACCGGGGUCAUAUGGUUGGAUUUGGUGCUCAGGAAGAGUGACUAAGCCCUGUGCUUUUUCAGGGCUUAAGUCAGAGACCAAAUGUAUAUCUGAGGGCCUCAAGAACAGAGACCAAGUCCUGUGUUUUGGGACCUUGAAACCACUCAACCGGGCUUGAGGGUCACUCAGCCUGGAGACCAAUUUUGGGGGCGUGCCUUGGGCACAGCCCGGUGCCGCGCUCACCCGGCCCGGCGAGAGCUCGGAACCGGCGGCGCGGACGCGCCUCUGGGGCUGGCGGCGGAGCCGCGGUGCCGCGUUUCGGGGCUCGGCCCGGGGCGCUUUCAGGGCUCAGAGCCGAGCCCGAACCCCGCGUUUGGGGCCACGGGCAGAGCCCAACCCCGCGCGUCGGGCUCAGCACGGGACCGCGGGGGCUGCUCCGGCACCGGCAGCGCCCCGAGCCCCGCGGCCGGAGCGGGACAGCGCCCGGGGCCCCGAGCCCCGCGCCAGUGCAGGGCACCGCGAGGAUCCGGGCAACGUGCGGC